rnacentral:rRNA from 1 species
GACGAACGCUGGCGGCGUGCUUAACACAUGCAAGUCGAACGGAAAGGCCCUGCUUUUAUGGGGUGCUCGAGUGGCGAACGGGUGAGUAACACGUGAGUAACCUGCCCUUGACUUUGGGAUAACUUCAGGAAACUGGGGCUAAUACCGGAUAGGAGCUCCUGCUGCAUGGUGGGGGUUGGAAAGUUUCGGCGGUUGGGGAUGGACUCGCGGCUUAUCAGCUUGUUGGUGGGGUAGUGGCUUACCAAGGCUUUGACGGGUAGCCGGCCUGAGAGGGUGACCGGCCACAUUGGGACUGAGAUACGGCCCAGACUCCUACGGGAGGCAGCAGUGGGGAAUAUUGCACAAUGGACGGAAGCCUGAUGCAGCAACGCCGCGUGCGGGAUGACGGCCUUCGGGUUGUAAACCGCUUUCGCCUGUGACGAAGCGUGAGUGACGGUAAUGGGUAAAGAAGCACCGGCUAACUACGUG